rnacentral:rRNA from 1 species
UACGGAGGGUGCAAGCGUUAUCCGGAUUUACUGGGUUUAAAGGGUGCGUAGGUGGACUGGUAAGUCCGUGGUGAAAUCCCCGAGCUUAACUUGGGAACUGCCAUGGAUACUAUUGGUCUUGAAUUUUCUGGAGGUUAGCGGAAUAUGUCAUGUAGCGGUGAAAUGCUUAGAUAUGACAUAGAACACCGAUUGCGAAGGCAGCUGGCUACAGAAACAUUGACACUGAGGCACGAAAGCGUGGGGAUCAAACAGG